UAUUUUGGAGAUAUUACUCGUUGUAUUGAGUUUACAACGAUUCUGCAAUCAGGUGACUUGCUUCAGCCGUUUUUUUGUGUAAUUUUCUGUCUGUAUGAGUGACAUUUAUAAUGAUGUUACAAUUAGCUGUGAUGAGGAGCCCAAGUUGCCUGCUGAUACCCUGGCCAUUUUAAAUUAAUUCUAUCAAGAACAAAAUGAGAAUUUGAG